AGGCUGCUUUUGUUAACAUAUUUCACUGAGGUCCAGGGCGGCGUGCCAGGGACCCCGGGGUUGGGGGGAUCCAGCAGAGGGCGGAACAGAACCCCGGCUCAAGGAGCCCAAGUCCCAGUGGCGCACAGGACCCGAUGAGACGGUGAUGUCUGAGCAGAGGCCGGGAGCAGCUGAGGGCCCGCCCGGCCAGAUGGCCACUGAGUGAAGAACCUUCCAGGCAGGACAAAAUGGAGGCUCCUGCAGGAAAUCUCCCGGAUCCUUUCCGGGGCUGGUGUGUGUUUGGAAACAGAGCUGCGCUGGCUUCAGAACAAGAUGGGAAGGCGGCCAUGACCGUGAGAAAGGACUUGGAACCCAAGUCCCGACCCUGAGAAAUUGAGAUGUUGCCCAAGGGUCCCUUUCCUGUCCUUCUAUCCUCUAUUCUCCCAAGGAGGCUGCCCAGGGAGGAGAAAGCUUCAGCCACCGGCCUGGGUGGGGACCCGUCACCAGCCCCACCCAGGGAUCCAAGUUCCUGUUUACGACUGGUGUCCUGGAAUAGCUUGUUUUGAUCCAGAGAAAUCUGCUGACGCACUGCUGGCUCUCCUCCCUCAGGGUGGAGGUAUUUUUAAAGCCUUAUUUGCAGAAAAAAAGGCAGAACCCAAGCGCCACCUUUGUCCACCUCACUGUGAGGCUACCUCUCCUCUUGCCCCCCCUACCCCAAGGCAGGACAGGGAUGUCCCUGUACAGUUUUGUACUGUUAAAGAGCAAAAUUCAGUGGAGGAAGUUUAAAGACCUAAGUGGCUGUAUUCAGUGAUUCAUGAAUUAGGCAGCACUCCAUCUGAUAAACAGGAAGUAGCUCCAGGGAGCAGUACAAAACAGAAGGGUUUUACAGGCCGAAAUAGGGUGUGACAAGGAGGAUAUUAGCAAGAGAAAAUGGAUUGUUUCAAGCAAGGUCACCUUCCUGUAGGCGGAGGAGCAAGAGGCCUCGCAAUGCAGCCUCACUGCAUUGGGCAGAUCGGGACAUUACAGACUGGUCUGAAACUGCAGUUAAGUUACAUAUUAAAUCUUGGUGGGGCUUAGCCCUCGUGACUUCACUCUAGCUGUGUUGUUUAUUUUUAACGCUAUCUUCCUCUCCGCCCUCCUCAAGGACAUUCCUUUGCCAAACAAAGCCGGCUGUGUGGAACUGGAGGCACAGAGAGCUUCUUCACAAGGACCCUCCGAAACUGCCAUUUUGUCCCUGAAAAUAAAGUGGGUGGACCCAUUAGCUCCAGACACGAGGGCACAGAGAACCGCCUUUUGUCCGUUUGUGAUGGGAAAUCCCAAGCUUCUUAGGA